UGGAUCGUUGCAAGUAAGAUUAAAGACGAGAUCUAAGCAUGUAGACCCUUAGGCAGAGUGCUGGCGGACGCGGGUUCGAUUCCCGCCGCUUCCACCA
rnacentral:tmRNA from 1 species